UGGGUUUAAAGGGAGCGUAGGCUGGAGAUUAAGUGUGUUGUGAAACGUAGACGCUCAACGUCUGAAUUGCAGCGCAUACUGGUUUCCUUGAGUACGCACAACGUUGGCGGAAUUCGUCGUGUAGCGGUGAAAUGCUUAGAUAUGACGAAGAACUCCGAUUGCGAAGGCAGCUGACGGGAGCGCAACUGACGCUUAAGCUCGAAGGUGCGGGUAUCAAACAGGAUUAGAUACCCUGGUAGUCCGCACAGUAAACGAUGGAUGCCCGCUGUUGGUACCUGGUAUCAGCGGCUAAGCGAAAGCAUUAAGCAUCCCACCUGGGGAGUACGCCGGCAACGGUGAAACUCAAAGGAAUUGACGGGGGCCCGCACAAGCGGAGGAACAUGUGGUUUAAUUCGAUGAUACGCGAGGAACCUUACCCGGGCU
rnacentral:rRNA from 1 species